rnacentral:sRNA from 1 species
UUCUUAUGAAUACUGCGCCGAGCAGGGGUCGGUCGGGGGGUGCGGUAAGGGGUGCCGGGGCGGGCGGGAGGGGAGAGCAGAGCGGCUAGGGAAGCGCCGGCAUGGGGGAUGGGGCUGAGGCGAGGGGAGGAACAGGAGCAGAGCGAGCUCGGCGGCAGAGGGAGGAGGGCGGCCUCCCCCACCCCACGCCCUCCCUCUCCUUCCUAGGCGUCACUAAAGUCCAGGAAAAUUAUGCUAAUGAGGACAAACGGCUCUCACAAAGGGGCUCUCUUGCGGGGUUCUAUUUUUUAAGAAUCUGUCUGAGAAACCACGCAAUUCCCUGCCAUGGACGUUUUCAUGGGGUGGGGGAUGGGGAAAGAAGAGAAGAAGAAAUGAGUUGCUCUGACUUUGACAGUUUUCUUCACCUGCCGCUCGCUCCCAAUACAGACACCCUAAAGCCAGUCCCUGUGGUAUAGGGCCUAUUUCCACACACCUCCCAUAAGCAACUCAACUGCCUUCGAUUAAAUUUCUAGGCCUAACGGAGGGAAGUGUCCCCGAGAGAUGGACAACUGUCCCCACAGUGAAAUGAUCCUCUCUGGGCUCAGGCACACACAAAGAUAUUCAGAAACUUGAGUCUCCACCUCUUGUGUACCCAUUGCAUAGUACAGACACGGAAGCAGGUAGCCCGUAAGGAAGAGAGAUAAGGCUCUGACACCAACACAAAUGGACGUCCAGGGUAUUUCACCCUCUAAUUAGUUGAGUGGCCUUCCUUUUGCUGGGUUGAGCGAAAGCCUAAAUUUGCUUGUUAAUAUGCCACAACGUUAAAGGGGAUGGGAUCAUUCCCAAUACCCCCUCAGCUUCCCAGCUUCAGAAGCAAAAAAAAAAAAAAAAAAAAAAAAAAAGGAGAGAAAUGGAGCUUUCGUGCAAUUCCGAGGCGUCAACGAGGGUCCUUCUCAAAGGAAGGUGUUAAAAAUAUAAGUAGUAUGUUUAAACUGUCAGGGAGCCAAAGUGUCACCUUAGAGCAAAAACAAAGCCAGGGGGGAAAGGGAGAAAUCAAAAAGGACUCCGGGCCAGGGUAGCCUCAUGCAUACCAAUGGUUUUUGUCAUUUAUGGCUGGGCAAGAUUUAUGACUCGGCUCCCCAAAGCUGUAAACAGAGCACAAAACAGCAAACACUUGCUCCUUAUGGCAUAUUGCAGCGGCGCAACUUGAAAGGGAAGAGCCCGGGACGUGUAGGAGGUGAGAGCCGGCCGCAAAAAUCCGCUCGGCGGCAUUUUCCCUUCAAACCCUCAGGGUCGGAUGUGGCAUUUGAAGAAAGAAGGCGUGGGUCAAUAAUCAACCCGCACUUUCUCCUCCAAACUGCUGACGCGACUCUCACCGCCUUCUCAGCUAAGCCAGCUGCAGGGAAGGCCGUGAGAACCAGACCUAGGACAGGACUGUCUGGUCCAAAGGGGCUGAGAGCGUUGGAGCAAAGGGCUAAGGCGUAUUCAACGCAUACCUUUCCGGCUCGACCAAACCAAGCCCAGCAGCCCCAGCGCCAGGACCAGGCCGGACCGGAGGAGUUGCAAGAGCCGCGGGAGAGCUCGGAAAUUGCUCCCUGCCGCGGUUCUUUCCAGGCCAGUCCCGCAGUUCAUACACAGCUUCUCCAAAACCACCAACCAAGCUUUUCUUUGCUCAGCAUCCGUGAGCUCCCUUCCCCGUCUUCCCUAAGUCCUAUGAUUUCCAGAGGGACUAGAAGAAGCAUUUUUCUCAGGCACCGAAGAGUAUUUGGAGCAACGAAGGUGUCUGAUGGAGCCUUUCUGCCAUCCAAGGGGUGCCCUCCCCAUCUCUGAGGGGGCUCACCGCUCCUGAGGCUCUCUGUGCAAGCAAGCUGGGGAGGAAGGUGAGGAGUAACUUUUGGCAAGAAGUAGCAUUAAAAUCCAAAGAUGGGCAGGGAAGAAGGUAUUGAGAAAAUAUGCUGGCCUGUAAGUUGAGACCGGUACUUUGAGCGUCGAGGGGGACCAGUCUUUCUAAUAGCUAAUCAUUUGGCCAUAACUCGAGUGGUAGUUCUUUCCUGGGAGGGGAGAAAAAAAACCAACUGUGCUCUAUGAAAGCAGUUAUUGGCUUCUUACUGUGUGUGCUUUUUUUAUGCAGAACCAGCUUGGAGGAUCUGUUGUUAGAUAUUUAUUCUCUUGUCGGCACUGAAGCCACAAUAAAAAGAUGCGUCUAACAAA